rnacentral:rRNA from 1 species
GAUGAACGCUGGCGGCGUGCCUAAUACAUGCAAGUCGAGCGAACGGGCGAGAAGCUUGCUUCUCUGAUGUUAGCGGCGGACGGGUGAGUAACACGUGGAUAACCUACCUAUAAGACUGGGAUAACUUCGGGAAACCGGAGCUAAUACCGGAUAAUAUUUUGAACCGCAUGGUUCAAAAGUGAAAAACGGUCUUGCUGUCACUUAUAGAUGGAACCGCGCUGCAUUAGCUAGUUGGUAAGGUAACGGCUUACCAAGGCAACGAUGCAUAGCCGACCUGAGAGGAUGAUCGGCCACACUGGAACUGAGACACGGUCCAGACUCCUACGGGAGGCAGCAGUAGGGAAUCUUCCGCAAUGGGCGAAAGCCUGACGGAGCAACGCCGCGUGAGUGAUGAAGGUCUUCGGAUCGUAAAACUCUGUUAGUAGGGAAGAACAUAUGUGUAAGUAACUGUGCACAUCUUGACGGUACCUAAUCAGAAAGCCACGGCUAACUACGUG